GAUGAACGCUGGCGGCGUGCUUAACACAUGCAAGUCGAACGGGAUCCAAGGGGUGCUUGCACUUUUUGGUGAGAGUGGCGAACGGGUGAGUAACACGUGAGUAACCUGUCCUUUUCUUUGGGAUAAGCAUUCGAAAGGGUGUUUAAUACCUUAUGUUCUGUCUGCCUCGCAUGGGGUGGGUGGGAAAGGCUUUGGCCGGAUUUGGGUGGGCUCGCGGUCUAUCAGCUUGUUGGUGGGGUGAUGGCUUACCAAGGCUUUGACGGGUAGCCGGCCUGAGAGGGUGGUCGAUCACAUUGGGACUGAGGUCCGGUCCAGGCGGCUGCGGGAGGCAGCAGUGGGGGAUAGUGCACAAUGGGCGAAAGCCUGAUGCAGCGACGCCGGGUGGGGGAUGAAGGCCUGCGGGUUGUAAACUUCUUUUGCUCUGAACAAGGCAUGCCAGUGGGUGUGUUGAGUGUAGGGGUGGAUUAGCGCCGGCUAACUACGUG
rnacentral:rRNA from 1 species